rnacentral:lncRNA from 1 species
AUGGACCUGACAUUCCAGGUUCCUAUGCAAUAUUGCUCUUUACAGCAUUUGAUCUUGCUUCUAUCACCAGUCACAUCCACAGCUGGGUAUUGUUUUUGCUUUGGCUCCAUCCCUUCAUUCUUUCUGGAGUUAUUUCUCCACAGAUCUCCAGUAGCAUAUUGGGCACCUAAUGACCUGGGGAGUUCCUCUUUCGAGUACAUCAUGAGAAAUGCUGGGCUGGAAGAAGCACAAGCUGGAAUCAAGAUUGCUGGGAGAGAUAACAAUAACCUCAGAUAUGCAGAUGACACCACCCUUAUGGCAGAAAGUGAAGAGGAACUAAAAACCCUCCUGAUGAAAGUGAAAGUGGAGAGUGAAAAAGUUGGCCUAAUGCUCAACAUUCAGAAAACUAAGAUCAUGGCAUCUGGUCCCAUCACUUCAUGGGAAAUAGAUGGGGAAACAGUGGAAAUAGUGUCAGACUUUAUUUUUCUGGGCUCCAAAAUCACUGCAGAUGGUGACUGCAGCCAUGAAAUUAAAAGACGCUUACUCCUUGGAAGGAAAGUUAUAACCAACCUCGAUAGCAUAUUAAAAAACAACGAUAUUACUUUGCCAACAAAGGUCCAUCUAGUCAAGGCUAUGGUUUUUCCAGUGGUCAUGUAUGGAUGUGAGAGUUGGACUGUGAAGAAAGCUGAGCGCCGAAGAAUUGAUGCUUUAGAACUGUGGUGUUGGAGAAGACUCUUGAGAGUCCCUUGGACUGCAAGGAGAUCCAACCAGUCCAUCCUAAAGGAGAUCAGUCCUGGGUGUUCAUUGGAAGGUCUGAUGCUAAAGGUGAAACUCCAAUCCUUUGGCCACCUCAUUCGAAGAGCUGACUCAUUGGGAAAGACUCUGAUGCUUGGAGGGAUUGGGGGCAGGAGGAGACUAGGACGACAGAGGAUGAGAUGGCUGGAUGGCAUCACCAACUUGAUGGACAUUAGUUUGAGUGAACUCCGGGAGUUGGUGAUGGACAGGGAGGCCUGGCGUGCUGCGAUUCAUGGGGUCACAAAGAGUCGGACAUGA